CUGUGUACUGUGCUCAGAACGAUUUUAGUUAAAAUGCUUGUGAGGUUUUUAAUUCUUCUUGUAUUUGUGCUUGGCGCGGUUUAUGCCCAAACGCACAACUGCGUAUAUGGUUAUAAACCAUCAAGUUACAUUGGUAAACUUCGAGUUCCAAUCACUUGCAAUCUUCAACAGUUGGACUGCCCGUCUUCUUGGAAAUCUGGAAUUCCUGAAGGCAGCGAAACAUCUGCGCCAAUGAUUGACCAGAAGUUUCUGAAUUGUCAUGAAGGUUUUACUUCGUGUGGAUACGUCCCGAUCGAUCCAAAAUCUGGCGAAAUUCUUGGAGAAAGUGGCGUUACGGUUGGCGCUGGUGUUGAUCUCGGAAACAAGUCGAGAACGUCUUUGACGUCAUUGUCAAGCACAUUAGUUGACAAACUUGAACCUUACUUUGGUUUGAAACGAAAUCUCGCUGCUUGUGCUGUAAUUGAACGUCCUUUAAGCCUAACGCUUCAUGAAGCAAACACUUUAACUGAUGCUGUUACAAAUGAUGUGGUUGAAAAAGUUUCAAAAAGAUACGACAGCGAUAAAGAUGAGAACGCGCUGGUGUUUGCAUCAGUUCCUCG
rnacentral:lncRNA from 1 species